ensembl:snRNA U1 U1 spliceosomal RNA
AGACUUACCUGGUAGGUAGGUACCAGGAUCGUGAAGGUGGUUUCCCCAGGGCCGGGAUUAUCGCUGCUCCCGGAAGUGCUAACUCCUGCAAUGUCUCCAAACGUGGGAGACUCCGAUGCAGCAUUUGUGGUAGUGGGGACUGCGUCUAUACUCCCCU